rnacentral:rRNA from 1 species
GUCUUUUUGAAAUAAUUUAAAGUCUAAUCUGCCCACUGAUAAAAAUUAAAGGGCUGCAGUAUAAUGACUGUACAAAGGUAGCAUAAUCAAUAGUUUUUUAAUUGAAAACUUGUAUGAAAGAUUUGAUGAAAUAUAAACUGUCUCUAUUUUAUAAAUUGAAUUUUAUUUUUUAGUAAAAAAGCUAAAAUAAAUUUAAAAGACGAGAAGACCCUAUAGAGUUUUAUAUUUAAUUUUAUUUGAAAAUUAUAUAAAAAUUAUUAUUUAAAUAAAAUUAAUUAUUAUGUUGGGGUGACAGAAAAAUUAAAUUAACUUUUUUUAAAAAUUAAACAUAAAUAAGUGAUUAUAUGAUCCAUAAAUAAUGAUUAUAAGAAAAAAUUACCUUAGGGAUAACAGCGUAAUAUUUUUUUUUAGCUCAAAUAAAAAAGAAAGUUUGCGACCUCGAUGUUGGAUUAAGAUAAAAUUUAAAUGCAAAAGUUUAAAAUUUUUGAUCUGUUCGAUCAUUAAAAUCUU